AUCAGCUUUAGCUCAGCUGGUAGAGCGCUUCCAUGGUAAGGAAGAGGUCGCCGGUUCAAGCCCGGCAAGUGGCUUCC
rnacentral:tRNA from 1 species